rnacentral:rRNA from 1 species
GUGAACCUGCGGAGGGAUCAUUAA